AGAGUUUGAUCCUGGCUCAGAUUGAACGCUGGCGGCAUGCCUUACACAUGCAAGUCGAACGGUAACGCGGGGCAACCUGGCGACGAGUGGCGAACGGGUGAGUAAUAUAUCGGAACGUGCCCAGUAGUGGGGGAUAGCCCGGCGAAAGCCGGAUUAAUACCGCAUGAGACCUGAGGGUGAAAGCGGGGGACUCGCAAGAGCCUCGCGCUAUUGGAGCGGCCGAUAUCAGAUUAGCUAGUUGGUGGGGUAAAGGCCUACCAAGGCGACGAUCUGUAUCCGGUCUAAGAGGACGGUCGGACACACUGACACUGAAUAACGGGUCAGACUCCUACGGGAGGCAGCAGUCGGGAAUUUUGGGCAAUGGGGGAAACCCUGACCCAGCAACGCCGCGUGAAGGAUGAAGUAUUUCGGUAUGUAAACUUCGAAAGAAUAGGAAGAAUUAAUGACGGUACUAUUUAUAAGGUCCGGCUAACUACGUGCCAGCAGCCGCGGUAAU
rnacentral:rRNA from 1 species